GGAGGGAUCGCAUAGUGGUCUAGUGCGGCCGCCUGCUAAGCGGCUGGAGGGGGUAUACCCCUCCCAUGGGUUCGAAUCCCAUUCCCUCCGCCA
rnacentral:tRNA from 1 species